UACGGAAGGUCCAGGCGUUAUCCGGAUUUAUUGGGUUUAAAGGGAGCGUAGGCGGAUUGUUAAGUCAGCGGUCAAAGGGUGUGGCUCAACCAUGCAUAGCCGUUGAAACUGGUAAUCUUGAGUGCAUACAGGGAUGCUGGAAUUCGUGGUGUAGCGGUGAAAUGCUUAGAUAUCACGAAGAACUCCGAUCGCGAAGGCAGGUGUCCGGUCUGUAACUGACGCUGAGGCUCGAAAGUGUGGGUAUCCAACAGG
rnacentral:rRNA from 1 species